rnacentral:rRNA from 1 species
AUGAAGGCCAACUGGAUUGUCCUCAUCCACCAAUCCGACGCAAAUGCGCUGGCCUUCAUGAUUCCAGGACCUGGAAUCAUACCAGCCGAUGGGUGGUGCUUUAUCGCUCGUUCAGCUGACGGCGGUCAUUUGAUGCUCAUUCGCACGUACCAAAUUGACCAAACCAUUACAUCAAACCACAUGCAGUACAAUGCAUGGGGCGUUCGUGACAUUGAUGUCGAAGAAGGAUUGGCCGAGCCGGCUGGCGUUAAGUUCGAUCCCACGGAUCAGGAGCUGAUCGAGCACCUUGAGGCUAAAGUGAGUGCUGACAGCGCGAGAUUUCAGUCUCUCAUCGAUUUGUUCAUACGAACCAUCGACAACGAGCACGGCAUAUGCUACACCCAACCUGAGAAACUUCCAGGUAUCACACUAAGUGGCAUAAGGAAGCAUUUCUUCCAGCGCAAUUCUAGGGUGUUCCAAAGGGGCACACAUGCAACAAAAAAGGUUCUGGUGCUGCACACCAACAAGAACUCUGACCAACAGAGGACCAACUGGGUGAUGCACCAGUACCACCUCAGGGACCUGGAGCAAGAGAAGGAGCGGGAGCUGGCCCAGCCCAUGACGACAAUGGGGCACAAAGAUCCAGCAGCUGCCAUCCUCCCGCACCCCGCCUGUCGAUCGCACGACGACAUGAUGUUUGAUUUACUGGUGAAGAACAUUCUAUGCUGCCUUGAAGACUUCAACAACAGCGUCCUGGAGGACAACAACGACAAGGAUGGCACGGCACGCCGCCUCCGCCGCCGCCGGAUAUAG